rnacentral:rRNA from 1 species
GGUGACCUCGGAUCAGGUAGGGAUACCC